rnacentral:lncRNA from 1 species
GGAAAUUAUUAGCCACAAAGUGCUGCAAUAAAGAAUUGAUUUUCCAGGCCUGAUGAAUCCAGCAUGUUCCAGCUGAGGCUGCUUCUCCUGGGCAGCAGCGGUUCACUUUAUGGGCACUGAGAGCAGGAGGAACUGGAAAUUGGAUCCUUAAAAAAGCCCUACCUUUCACUGCUGGCUUCGUGACAAUCAUAUUGUCAUAUAUUGAUGUUAACUGUUUCCAAAGCAGACAUGAAGAUCUCCGGCUUUUUGGGCCAGCAGUCUACUUUACAUCAGCAUGUCGAGCAGACUUCAUUUGACCAAGAGGUGGCAGUGUAGCUCUCAGGAUCCCACAUGGCAUGUCACUGUAAGAGAUCUAAAAAUCCAUAACAUGUCAGAUCAGUUAUAAUUGCAUUUAUCUGUCUGACUGAUAUUUAUACCUACAGGAUCUUCUCCUUUGUGUCUCGGAGAGAUUAAGCAGUUCGACUGGCAGAAUGAUUUGAUUAAAGAAGGCUCUUUGGAGUUAAAGCAGGAUUUUUCCCCCCCUCUUUUCAUCUGCGUAAUGCCAUGUCUGGCUUUGACUGUCAAUGUUAGCUUUAUUGAAAGAGUGAAAAAAUAACUUUCACAUCAAAGCUGGCUAUUUUCAGUUAUUGUGAGCUUACUGUAUAUACAGGUUGACUUCAAUGAAAUGUUUGUUACGUAACGUAACCAAGAUAUAGGGGACUAUAGAGAUAUAGAAACGGA